GUGGGUAUAGCUCAGUGGUAGAGCACAUACUUAAUCAUGCACAACGUCCUGGGUUUAAUCCCCAGCACCUCCA
rnacentral:tRNA from 1 species